ensembl:lncRNA
AAACAAAUCAAUCCAUGCAAAAUAUAUUCUAUUAUUACGUUGCAAAAAAAUCGCACAGGUACAUUUUUUGCAUUUACAUGAUGAAUCUAUAAAAAGCAAUAAGGCUCAAAAUGUUUCUGAAAACGUUCAAAUAACUUAACUGGUGUAAAGCAAUGUGCAUUGCUUUCCUUACACAAUUUGUAAAAAAAAAAACACGCGAAAAGGGCGCAAAUUUCCGAGUGUUCUCAACAUUGGGACAGUGCUUGUCGGUGUUCUAUUACGUAGCGUCCUUAAAAGGGUGGCCGUUGAGCAUGCUUCCUUCACAUUGGGAAGCAGUUUCCUUUAUUCAAGUCUUGUUUUUAAAGAAAUAGAGAAGGGCGUUAACCCAUGGACCUAUAAAGAAAGCGUUUACCUCAUCUUGGUUAAGUCUUCCACUAGCUGCCUCAUCUAUCAUCUGCUUACAUGAUGGGCUUCGUUUGCCUUUUCUUUGUUCUUUCUUUGACAAUAUCCACCGUUGGGGGAUUAAGUUGCUACUCGUGUACGGCCAAACCUUCCAAGGAAUGCAUUAAGAAAGUUGAUUGUGCAAGCGACAUGGAUCGCUGUUUCAGCAUGAAAACAGGUGACAUUGGGCGUCCUCUACAUUGGCAGAACUCCGGCAGAAAGGCUGGAGGAAGUCAGGUGACGAAGAACACAGAGCGACAAAGCAAAUAGGGAUUCAUCGUUGUCGAUGAAUGGAUCAAAGACGACGAGCACCCAGGGGAUACCUUGAUCAAGGGAUGUCAAUUCAGUCCUCUGUGUCUCCUGCCAGGGAGCGGUUGCUGCAAAGGCGAUUUGUGUAACUUUGCAAAUUCCAGCAAUAGCAUUGGAUCAAGCUUCAUCCUUCUGCUGUUGUCUACCGCUGCACUGUAUUUCCUCUGAUCAGUGGGUCUGCAUGCACUCUAGAAACCUGGGGCCAGAUUCACUAAUGAAUCUCCAGAUAAUGACAUUCUGUUCAUUAUCUGGAGACUAUGUUUGCAUCUAGAUUACAUUUAGGGCCUUAAGCAGAUGCUUUUAUCCAGAACCACUUACAUUUAUUACAUUUGUCGGACGAAAAGGAAAAAACAAUAUAACGCUGUUGGUAGGCCUACAGUGAGGUUCCUAAUAAACCUAUUGUUUUACGGAUACUACCAGUUAUUGUUACAUUUAACAAUUGUCACAUCAUAAAUACCAAUUGAUAAACAAUAAGGCAUAUACGUGUAGCACAGUUGAAAGGAAUGACCCUAUAGCCUACGUGAUGCCGUUUCUGUUUUGGACAAGGCAAUUGAAUAGUUAUUGCAAAACAAACAAAAAGUACGAGAAAAUAAAUGUCAAUUUGCAGAAGUAUGUUAUAGUUUUUGUAUGUCAGACCUAGAAACAAAUCAGGCGAAAGGCUUGGUUCAACCCAGGCAAUAUAUUUAUUCUAUGUCACAUGGAGGUUAGUACAAUCAUGGUGGAGGAAAAUCCUGAAACCCCCUUAUUUAUAUACGAGGCAAAACAAGUCAUUGUUUAAUUUGUUAAACAAACGCCCAUAAAAUAUGAGGAACUGAAAAUCAAAGUCAAACAAGCCAUUUUCCAAGCCCACAUAGCUAGCUUUGGCAAAAGUUAGACAUAUAGUUACAUUGUUUGAUUACAAAUACAUAAAGCCAAGCAAUGUGCACAUGAAAUAACAGUCUUGUAGGCUAUUCUUGUUACUCGAUCGUUGCGUUCUCGUCAUUUCAGGUUGUGUUCAUUGUAUUUCUCCGUGCUACGUAUGUUCAUUGUUUACUCGUGUUUCUGACCUCGGACUGAACCUGUGUGCCCUAUUUGGAUUAUGUUUGCUUACCUGUGUACCGUAUCC